rnacentral:rRNA from 1 species
GAUGAACGCUGGCGGCGUGCCUAAUACAUGCAAGUCGAGCGAACAGAUAAGGAGCUUGCUCCUUUGACGUUAGCGGCGGACGGGUGAGUAACACGUGGAUAACCUACCUAUAAGACUGGGAUAACUUCGGGAAACCGGAGCUAAUACCGGAUAACAUAUUGAACCGCAUGGUUCAAUAGUGAAAGGCGGCUUUGCUGUCACUUAUAGAUGGAUCCGCGCCGUAUUAGCUAGUUGGUAAGGUAACGGCCUACCAAGGCAACGAUACGUAGCCGACCUGAGAGGGUGAUCGGCCACACUGGAACUGAGACACGGUCCAGACUCCUACGGGAGGCAGCAGUAGGGAAUCUUCCGCAAUGGGCGAAAGCCUGACGGAGCAACGCCGCGUGAGUGAUGAAGGUCUUCGGAUCGUAAAACUCUGUUAUCAGGGAAGAACAAAUGUGUAAGUAACUGUGCACAUCUUGACGGUACCUGAUCAGAAAGCCACGGCUAACUACGUG